CGGGAUGGAGCAGUCUGGUAGCUCGUCGGGCUCAUAACCCGAAGGUCGUCGGUUCAAAUCCGGCUCCCG
rnacentral:tRNA from 4 species